rnacentral:lncRNA from 1 species
GUAUGCUGGGAGGACCAAGCCGGAGGUUCCCACUAUGAGCCCGGAGUCUGUGCAGCCAGAUGACGCAUGAGCUCUAUUCAAAAUACCCAAGAUUUGGAAGCAACCUAAGUGCAUAUCAGCAGACAAAUGGAUAAAGAAAAUGUGGUACAUAUACAAAAUGGAGUACUAUUCAGCUGUAAAAAAGAAUGAGAUCCUGUCAUUUGCAACAACAUGCAUGCAACUGGAGGUCGUUAUGCCUCUGCCUCUGAAUGUGAAGGGAAACUGGACCAGCUCAGUGUCAAGCCUACAGACAUUUCCUUGUUCCUGGGGACUGAGCAGUUUGAAGUUUCCAAAGAUGAAAACAUCUACUCUGAAGAGACCUGAAUGGACAAGAGAUGUUUUCCUCUUCCUUACCAUAAUAAAAGAGGACUGCUCCUGACCACAGGAUAUGCCUGGUCCAGGAAAUGGCCACAUUUCCCCCCUCAGGACCUCUACUUGGAUGGGCUGCCUUGGAAAUAAGCACUGUUCACAAUGGCUAAGAUAUGGAAACAACCAAAUGCCCAUCCAUGGAUGAAUGGCUAAAGAAAAUGUGUAUACUGGAUUGGAAACCCAUUCAAUCUGAUGUCUGCUGAGGAAUGGAGAAAGACCACUGGUGAUUCCUCCAUCCUCACUCCUGUGUCCCUCCUUGCAUUGCAAGUGCUUUACAAGUCUUCCCGAUAGACCAUGAGCAUCCUGAGGGCUGGUAUCAAAUUUAACUCAUCUCCUAUCCUCAGUGCCUCGUACAAGAUGCUGGAUGUAGGAGGAGUUCAAAAUAAAAAGUGGAACAACAACCUGCACCCAUCUGACAACAUACACAUUUGGGAACAAGAAGAUGAGAAGGAGAGUAGAGGCAGCAUUGUAUUUCUGACUGCUUGUUUGGUUGCUGGGGGAGCUUAAGUGUUACUACUAAACCAAGUCAUCAGUAUUUCCUCUUCAUGACUGUCUGAAAACAUGCAGCUUUGCUGUUAGCAGGAUCGGACUUCACAGGGUGCCUAUGAAGUUGACCUCAAUGGCCUGACAUGCAUUGGUCUUCUAUAGGCCACUUUUUAAUUCAAUCACCAGAUAAAGUGGCUUGGACCUCCUAUCCUAUCUACAGUGGGCAGUCCAGUGCCCUCUUGAAGACUUAAGGGGAUUCAUGGCAUAGGAAGCUCAAACUGAGGCAGAAUCACAGCGAUUUGGAAAAUGGUCCAAUCAGCUAUAGUGGAAGAGCAGAAUCAUUGAAUAUAAAACAUGGAGAUGUCAGCAGCAGGGGCUGUGAGCUGAACAGCUUCACUGGGAAGAGGAUAUGGGUGAGAAGUUACCAGAGUCAUGUUUUGAAAUCUCAAAUCUGAGCAUCUAUCCUCAAAUAGAGGCCUACAUGGCUUCCAGUUCCUCCAGGAGAAGGUCCAAAUCCCUUAAGAUGACUUUAAGGCCCUCAAGUGUUCCAGGCUCUGUACGUUCUUGUGCCACAACUAUGCCACAACAAAACAGUUUUUCCCCCAUUUCUACUUUGUUUUUCCAGCUGUAGAGUCAAAGCCUCAAGAAGGGGAAAGGGACGAAUGGACACCAGGUCAUGUGCCAGAUAGUUUGAUUCUGAGAGUAAGCUGCAAUGCGAUGUGCUACUGACAUGAGACCGUUCCCAAUGGGAAGAACAGCAAUCUCACUCCGUGAUCUGGAAGCAUACAGAAAAGCCUGUCUUCUUCAAAGGCAUUUGGAGGUAAGCACCUCAAUCCUGCUCCGACUGAGCUUCUUGGAGUGUCCCAAGGAAUCGCCAACUCUCAGUCUCUUCUGUCAUUCCCUUAAAUUAUUUCUCCUCUCUUCUCUGUUGCUGGGAACACAAAUAGGACUGAAGGAUCCUGGGGAUUUGCUCCCUGCAGUUGGCAAAGCAGUGAUAUGAUAUGGAGUCUUAGUAUUUAGAAGUAACACACAUAGGGCACCUCCUCAAUAUAGCCCCACAGACAUUGCCUGCUAAUUUCCUUUGCUGCAUCAUUAUCAGCACACAAAAGCAUUUACUAGGAUCUCUUUGAAAACGCUUCAUUGUGACACUGGGCACAAUGAAGGGAACAGAUGUGAUGGGCCAACCUCCAGGGGUUUGCAAUCCAAGGCAGAAGGACAGACAGUGCAAACACACAUGAGCGCUCAGGCAUAACCUGCAAGCCAGGACACAGGUAUGACAGUCGGGUUUGACACAGUGUGGGAACCACAGAGCAGCGGUCUUGCUUUUACAUAAGGAUGCUUCUUCUUACCACAGGGUUCCCCUAGGGCUCCUUUAACAACAAGCCCUCUUCUUGCAUUUUUAAUGGGAUCUGAUUUAAAAUUAUGCUUUGAAAAUAACUUAUGCGGGAACAUAUUGACUGCAUACAGCUCAUGAUGUUGGUAUAGGGAGAGGUGGCCAAUACUGAAUAUGCCAGGCAAGAAAUGUAAACUUCUGUUUACAUAAUACACAACCCAAGGGGCUCCUUCCAUUGUGUAGAAGCAUCAAAAAACCUGGUUCAUUCUGUGCCUAGCAGAACACCUGGUCUGUGUUUGUUGGUCAAAUAGUAUUUAUUAAAUGAAAUAAUUAAAUAAUUACAAACAAAAUGUCUACUCCAUUCAUAGGUAAGACGAAUAAAACACAUUUCUGUUUUCUACUUUUUCUUUCUUCUCCACCUUCCUCUUUUCCCUUGUUACUCCUUCUUUUUUUCCUUGCUUUUCUUCUCCUCUCCUUCUUCCUCCUCCUUUGAUUCCUCUUCCUUGUCUUAACAUUUCUCAUUUUAAAGUGUGAACUUAUUUUGGUAUAUGGUAUAAAUUGAGCCUUUGCACAUUUUCCCCAGGGUGUUAAUAACUUCCCUAAUGCCACUUAUUAAAUAAGUGGUCCUUCCUCGGACCACUGAUUUAAGUCUUUUCCUGACAGGGGCUCUAGUUUAUCAAUCUUUAUGUCUCCAGUGCCUGCUGCAAAACCUAGAGAUACUUGUGGGUAUAUGAUGCUAUAUGAUGUACUUAGGUUCUUUUUGGGUGUAUGGUGUAUUUGUGUUAUGAAGUAUGGUGUAUGGCAUAUUUGUGUUGCCACACUUAGCACUUGUCAUGGGAAGAAUUAUGCUUCCCCCAAACCAACUUCAUAUGUUGAAAGUUUUAAACCCUAGUACCUCAGAAUGUGACUGUAUUUGGAGAUAUUUUUAAACAGGUGACUAUGUUAAAGUCAUGUAAUUAGGGAGGGCCCUAAGCCAAUACAACUGAUCUCAUAAGAAGAAAAAAUUUACACACAGCCAUGCACAGAAGGAAGACUACAUGAAGAUACCGGGAGAAGACAGCCAUCUAUGAGCCGAUAGAGGGGCCUCAGAAGAAGCCAGCUCUGCUACACCUUGAUCUUGAACUUCCAGCCUCCAGAACUGUGAGAAAAUAAAUUUCUGCUGCUUGAGCCAUGCAGUUUGUGGUACUCUGGUAGGCAGCCCUAAUAAACUAACACAGCAACUAUAAAAGUAACUUAUUUUUAUAUUAGGGCCUAUCUGUCUGUGAGCUAUCAACUUCAUUACUUUGAAAUAUCUGACUAUGCUUUCAAUAAGAUUAUUAUAUCAUUUCAAAUAUGUAACAUAUUCUUAGAAAAAAAUGAAGGAAAUAUAGAAAAAUGUGAAUUAUGCUUAUCUCUGACUGUGAGAUUUUGGGUUAUUGUACUUUUUUCUAUGUCUCUUCCAGUGUUUUCCAGAUUUUCUAUAAUAAGCAUGAUUACUUUUCUAAAUAAGGAAAGUAGCUAUUUAAAAGUUAUAUUAAGGUGCUAUUGUGUGUAUCAGAUGGUGGCCUAAGAAGUGAAAAAGGGGAGGUUUGCAUGUAGAUAAGUUUUGCAACCUCUGAGGCUCCUUAAACAUUUUUGAAUUGCUGUAGCCUAGGCUUGUUUUGUAAAAAGUGCUUGUUGCUGAAAAUGAUGAUUUGUUUGGAUAAACCCCCUCCUCAUUUUUUGGGUGGUGGGGGAGCUUUUUAUUGCAUAGUCACAAUGGGAGGCAUUGUUCACACAGACCAGCAUCGUCAUACUUCUAUUCUUGUCACUGACAGUAUUAUUUGCAACUGCUUUUUUUCCAGCCUCUUCUAAUUUCCACACUACCACUUAUUGUAUUUCAUUAAAGCUGGGUUAGAAAUGCAAGGCAUAUAAUUAGAUUGAGAACUAUGCUAUCGAUUUGGUUUUCCAUUAUGAUGUUAUCACAUGCACAAAAAAGUCAUUUGGUACAAUUGUUAUGAUUAAAACUACAAAAGAGAUCUAUUACAUCAGACUUAGUUUUCAGUGCCUGAUGCAGUGUAAAAUAAGAGUGAGAGGGGUUGAUCUGUUUAUAUUAGAGCUGCAUAUGCCAUGUAACCAUAAAUGUCUGUAGGCUAAUAAUUUCAAAGGAACCUUUAGUAGAUGAGAGGUUUUUUAGAAAUUCAUAUUAAAUAAAAGUCAAUCAAUACUUCAAUACUCAAUUUCUAAGGUGGUGGUGGAUGAUAAUCCUUUUCCAGCUCUGCACUAUGCAAAGACUCAUGCUCCACAUUUGCAGCUUUCUAUUGCAGGGAGGCUAGGAGGGGCAAAGAUGGAUUUUGGCAUUAGACAGAAGUGGGGUCAAGUCACAGUUCCAUUGCUGCUUAGGAGAAGGCAGGAUCAUUAUUUAAUUCAUAUCUACCAUGAGCCGGGCUUAAUAGACAUUAUCUCUGUCAAUUCCUACAAAGCUGUGAGGUUACUGGUUCAAGUUCAUGUAGCUAGUAAUUGAUACGAUUUUAGUUCCCUUCAUCCCUAAAUGUCCAUGUACUCUCUGCAGUAAUAUUCUCUUUCUCUUUUGUUGAAUAAUGUUGGAUAAGUUACUUAAUGUUUCUGAGUCUUAGUUUUCUCAUCUGAUAAACAAGAACAAUAACGUCCCUUCGUAAAGAUGGUUUUGAUUAUUAAAUGAAUUAACAUCUCUGUAAAACUGAGCAUUGUGCUUGGCACAUAAUAAGUACCCAGUAAACACACUUAUCUUUCUCUGCUUCUCAGUAAGUUCCCCCACAAUCCCAGGGGUAACCUUGGAGUUAUACUGGGUUAGAGGAAUGACACUGAUUUUCCUCAUCUCUGCAAAUGUAGGUAAUGAAAAGGUUAAAAAAAAACAAGAUCACUGAUGUAGAAAGACCUUGUUUAAUAGAAUAAUAUGGGAACUAACUACAAAGCUUAUCUUAUAGCUAUGCUUAAGUUGGUUUUGAUAAUCUACAAAAUUGAUUUAAAAGUAUUUAUUAAGCACCUAGUGCAUCACAGACAUGGGGGCUGGACAGAUUCUCAUGUACAUGCUGUUUAAUUUUUUUCCAACCACUUUCUGGGGGACAUAGUUGAAGAAACUGGGACCCAGAGAAGGUGGAAUAAUUUGAGCAGUGACUUGGAGAAUGAUUACAGUUUCCACAAACAGAAAUAAAGCACUGCAAGAAUGGACUAAUACGCUAUGUGAAGACAAAGGGGAUGUCUGCAAGCCAGGACGAGUGCGUCUACCAGAAACUGAGUUCUGCUGGACUUUGAUCUAGGACAUCCAGCCUCCAGAAUGGAAUGUGCCAUAUGUGGAGACCUGCAUGGAAAGGAACUGAGGAUGCUCUCUCACUAAAAGCUAGAAGGAACUGAGGCCCUCAGUCAACAGUCUACAAGACACUGAAUCUUGCCAGCAGCCAAGCAGUGAGCUUGAAAGCAGAUCUAUCAUCAGCUGAACCUUCAGAUGAGACCGCAGCCUAAGCAGAUACCUUGGUUGCAGCCAUGUGAGACAACCUGAAACAGAGGGCACAGCUAAGCCUCAGCCAGGUUCAUGACCCUCUGAGGAAACUGUGAGAAAGCAAAUGUCAUUUUAAGCUAUUUAAUUUUGGAGGUAGUUUAUUACACAACAAUAAAUAACUAUUAUAAUUAUCUUGAGGAUUUAUUUCCUGGGGAGAAUACAUGGAAUUGCAUAUAUAGGUCCUCAUAUGCAGAAUACUGGUACCCUAGAGAUGUUCACCCCAGAGAUGUUUUAGGAACCUGUGAAUAUGUUACAUUAAAUGGCAAAGUUUUCCUGGAUGGUUUAAGUUUAAGAUGGAAAAGUUUUACUGGAUUAUCCAGUGGGUCCAAUCUAGUAACAUGAGUCCUUAAAAAUGGAGAAUAUUUUUUGGCCAUGAUCAGAGAGACAUGUGAUGAUGGAAAAAGUGUCAGAGAUGCAAUGUGAGGGGACUAAAACUGCUGUUGCUGACUUUAAAGAUGGAGAGAGGGGAACCCGAGUCAAGGAAUGCAAAUGGCCUCUGGAAGCUGGAAAAAGCAAGAAAUGGAUUCUCCUUUAGAGCCUGUGGAAUAAAAUGCAGUCAUGCUGACACCUUGAUUUUACCUCAGUGAGACCAAUACUGGAGUAUGACCUUCGGAGCUGAAUAAAAUUAUACGUACACAUCUUAAUUUCUUGGGAUUUGAUUACUUCUUCUGCUUUGAAAUUAGACCAAGUUUAGCCUGCCUUUGCUAUUUUGGCGUAUCUCCAAUUCUUCAUGAUUUUCUCAUUAGAUUCUUAGGGAUUCUGAAAAACACCUUACAGACCAUGUGAGAGGUAACGAGGAGGCUCUCCUGGACUGAACUGUGUCCCCUCCAAAUUCAUAUGUUGAGACCCAAACUUCCAAUGUGACUGUAUUUGGAGCUAGGGCCUUUAAGGAGUAAUUGACAUUAAAUGAGGUCACAGGGUUGGGACUCUAAUUUAAUAGGACUGGUGUCCUUAUGAGAAGAGAAAGAGGCACCAGGCACCAGGCAUGUGAGCCCACAGAGGAAAGGCUAUGAUGUGAAGACAGAGAGAAGGCCAUCACACACAAGCCAUGGAGAGAGGCCUCCCCAGAAACCAACCCCACCGACACCUUGAUCUCGGACUUCCAAGCUUCAGAACUGUGAGAAAAUAAAUUCCUAUUGUUUAAGCCACUCAGUCAGUGGAAUUCUGUUAUAGCAGCCCUAACAGACUAAUACGGAAGUCAAGUAGACAAGUCUGGUCUCUGUAUUUCUAUUGGAACUGGAUUUACUCUGCUCCUAUGAGUUAUCUCUAUGGGAGUUUGAUAUAAAUUGUUAAAAAAUUGAAGCAGAUAAACAUGAAAUUGUAGAGCAAUUUAACCAGGUGUUGUAAUGGAAACAUUUCUUCCUGAUGCUGGCCCCAUGUUGUGUUUAUAAGUGGAAAGUUUCUUCCUCUCCAAGUCCACAGGACUCCUUUCCUUUCUAAGUACUCUACGUGGCUGGCCACAUCAUUAAAAUAUGAGUUAUUUUGAUGGCAGAGAGAAGAUAUCACUUAUCUUUGUGACUUCUCCUUCCCCUGUCUCUUCCACCCCUUUCGGCCAAUGGCAUACUUAGUCAUGUGUACUUAGUAAUGUUAAAUAUGUAAGUAAAUUUGACCUAUUGAAGAAUGGCCUCUAUAGCCUCCUAGACAACAUAUAAACCUAUAUUGUAAAUCUUCUAGUAACAGAAAGCAGAAUAGAAUACAAGUUUUUUACAAAUCUUUACAGAUUUCUUCUAAGAGUUUGGUUUUUCAUAAGUAGUUCUUACCAUUUUUGUCUCUAUAAAAAUUUCUGUGCCCUCUUAUUGCCUAGAAUAUUUUCUAUUCAGAGAUUUUACAAGGAAUAUUCACCUGAUAUUGGCACAAGCACAAAGUUAGAAUUAGGGAGCUAUUACUGGACAUGAUUCCUAUGCAUUUCCCACAAUUUUUAUAACAACUGUAUAUUUCAGUUUAUACAUCUCAAUUAAUCCUCACACUACCCCGUAAGGUUGGUAAUGGUAUUCUCAUUUUUCAUUUGAGGGAACUGGGACACAAGGAUGUAAAAGUAACCAAAAUUAUACUGAUGAUAAGAAGGGAAUUUAAGGUUUGAAUUAUACAUUUUAUUCUACAUUGUGUUUCUUGCUUUUUAUGUGCUUAACUAUGUAAAAAAUAAAAGCCGUAGAGAAAUAUAUUUAUAGGAUGAAUAGUCAGAUAUGAAUCCGUAUGGUCAAUUAUAAUCAGGUCCAGAUGGUUAGUGCUCUGAGCUACUAGAGACCCCAUUUGAUGCCCCAGUUACCUACCAUCAUACAAUUAGGAUCAGUCGACACUUAAUAAAAAAGAUGGCAUAAUUUGGUGGAAAGAACAUGGGCUUUGAAAUCUGUCCUGAAAUAAGUUUUCAGUCCUGCCACUUACUACCUGUGAGAUACUGAACAAUGAAGAGUUAACUCCUCUGAACCUCUGUCUCUAUUUGUGUAAAAUGUGAAGAAUUAGUAAUGAGUUUCUUAUGAGAGGUACAGGAGACAGCAAAUGAGAAUGCAUCUAUAAUUGCCCUUGACACAGAGUAGGCACACAGUGGGCAUUCAGUAAGUGCUAGCUGAAUGUGAAUCUUAGUGUUAUAUAUUAAUAUAAAUUAGUGUAAAAUGAAAUCUCUCCUUGUUGUGGUCUGAAUGUGCCCCCUAAAAUUCCUGUAUUGGAAACUUAAUCCCCAGUGAAACAGUGUUGGGAAGUGUUUGGGGAGGUGUUUAGGUCGAGCCCUCAAGAAUGGAUUAACGCUGCUAUAAAAAGGGCUUGUGGGAGUGGGCACACACUCUCUUGCCCUUCAGCUUUCCAAUAUAUGAGGAAACAGCAACAAGGCCCUGCCCAGAUGCUGGCACUUUCAUCCUGGGCUUCCCAAACUCUAGAACUAUAGGGAAAUAAAAAUCUGCUCUUUAUCAAUUACCCAGAUUUGAGUACUCUGUCAUAGCAGCCCAAAAUGUACUAAGAGACUCACUUAUAGGGGUUUACAAGCUAACUGUUGAGAUACUAAGGAAUGAGGACAUAAAGGCAGCCAAGGCCAAGUGCCAAAUGAGAGAAACCAUGACAAGUCACUGGGGGAGGAGAUUCUUGAGGGCUAGGACAGUUAGGACAACUGACUUCUUUUAGGAGGUCAGGCUCAAGCUGGGCCCUGAAGAAAGACAAGCUCUUAUUUGUAUAGAUGGGGGAAGAGGGAGCAUGUGCGUUGCAGAAAGGGAGAAAUGCCUUGGAAGAGAAAUGUGUAUGGAAAAAAGCAUAGAUAAUUAUGGGUGGUGCAGAUCCUGUAAGGUGGCUUAUCCAUUGUACAAUUUACAAAACCUUUUGCCUCAUUGGAGCCUCUCCUCAGAUCUAAGAGGAGCAGAGAACAAAUUUUACUGUCUCCUUUUAAAGAAUAAAGAUGGAACUGAAACUCUGAGAGGUAAAGUGACUUGGCUAAGGUAGCGCCUCUAAUCUGUAACAGAGUGGGGCAUCAAACUCCAAUCUGCUGCUCCUGAGGACUCAGGGAGGUGGCAGGAGGAGGGAGGGAAUAAGACUAAAGAAGUUAGAGAAAAAUUGGUGACUUUGAAUGGCAAUCUUAGGGUUUUUUUCUUUUCUCUCUGUAAGUGUAGAAAACCCCAAAAGCUUAUGACCAAAGUAAACGUACAAGGUAAUAUUUUUGAAGGUUAGUUUGGCCACAGGAUCUGGGGUGGAUGUCUGUUCCUGAGACAAGGCAGUGUUCUUCUAGAAUCUAUUUAUUCCAAGACCGUUGUCAAAAUGAGUUUUAGGCCAAAGAGGGCUCUGUCCUUCAUACCAUCUUAGAGAAAGCCUUCUUAAUCAGGGAAAUGGAGCUAUUAGCACACUGGCAGCCUUUUCUGUUCUGCAUUUUAAAUUGUUAAUUCAAUUUAUUUCUGGAUAAAAUAUCUGUAAAUCAAGCCAGUUUGCAAAACUGACAGCUCCAUGAAAAAAAUGUUAGGGGAAAGAAGAUCAGAUGCAUGACUAAGCUAUAUUUUAAUUUAAGCAAGUGUUCUGAUUAAAUCAUAAAGGGAAUAAAAAUGGCAUAAUGGGAACAUCGUAACUUACUGAAUUGGGGUCAGGUUUAUCUCUCCAUAUAGCACCAAUGCAAUGAAGCAGUGGGCUUGGUGGAAAGAUUCAGCUUUUGGAGUAGGUCAGAUCUGGGCUGAAAUCUUCGACAAAAGCUUGGUGAUUUUUCCUUCACUGUUAUAACUAGAGCAUCUAGGACAGUAUCAGAGUAGGUACUGUACAAAUCCUUGUUGAAAUUAAAUGAAAUGAGCACUUAGCCCUACCACUUUCCAACUGGAAAACAUGGGAAAAAUGAGUUCACCUUAGUAUACCUCAGUUUUCUCACGUGUAAAAUAGAGAUAAUGAUAUUACUUUAUAUAAUAGUUGUAAGGAUUAGCAAUAGUAAAAUAUGGGCUUGUGGGAUGGAUUGGUUUAGAUACCAGCUCCAUGAGACCUGAGGUCGUAACCUAGAGUUACCUCUUGAUGUAUUACACAGCAUGCUUUGCUGAGCUGCGACCAUGCCCUGAAAUGCCCUAGCUAAGCCAGACAUUAUUUAAGUUUAUAUCCUCUGCAAGGAUUAGCAGGGUUAUUAUACUAAUAGAUGUUGAAUUGUCAAAAUUAAAAUUUUUAGGGUAGCAUAACUUUGAUUCAAAUUAUUUUAUUUGUUCAUUUAGAGAUACCUACAUGAUGGGCACACUUUAAAAAUUAUUAUUAUUCUAUGAUCUUUGAUCUUGCCCACUGAGAGAUACUAUAUUCUUUUGUCUUUUAAAUUCCUACAACGAAGCCUCUUUUAAAGUGUUCCCAUUUUGAAGGUGAGGAAACAGACUUGGAGAAAUCUAGUGACAAGUUCGCAGACACAAUAACAUAAAAAGCAGUGCUGACGUUUGAACAGGACUUUUGGUUUCAAAGCCAUUGUACCUUAUAGGUGUGUUCCAUAUACAUUUAUUAAUUGAAUUAACGGGCAAAGGCCAAUCAUACUGGGCUUUAACUUCCCUUUAGUCACAAGAUGUUCUUUUAGCUCCCAGAGUGAAGAUAUUAAAAACAAGAAUCUGGCUUUGGUUCAGUUGCUAAAAGCAUGUGUAGUCUAGAACUGUUAGAUUUUUGUCAGACUAUUCAGAAAUAUAUAUCAGUCUUACAAGAGCAAGGACAUUUGUUCAAUUUAUAAUGUACCCUCCCUUACACCAAAAGAAAAAGUAAAAUAAAAUAAAAAGGCCAAGGUAAAGCGGCUAUGAAUUUAAUGUUCAUAAAGGCAGCAGCGCACAGUUAUUGUGUACUAAUUAUGUAACAGGCCUUGUGCUAUGUGUUUUACAUACAUUAUUUCACAAUGGCCCUCUGAAGAAAUAGUGUUGUCCACAAGCUUUAAAAUAAGAAACUGCUCAGAACUCUCCCUUGGCUUCCUAUCUCACUCAGGGUAGUGCUCCAUUUCUCACAAUGGCUCAGAAGGCCCUCCACAACCAGUUCAAUGAUCAUAAAUUGAGUGUAGGAAACACAAUAUGGGAAGUGAGAUUAACAUGUGUUACCUCUGCCCUACUACAGAUAUGGAAAUGCUCAAGGCAAUGUUACAGGAAUAUUGCCCAAUGUCAGGAAACCUAAGUUUGGGCUUUGGGGUCAAACCUUUCAUUUUCAUGGCAAUGUUUGAGAAAACCUAAAUGAAAAGGGGCUGAAUGUUGCCCUCACGUCACACAGAGUACAGAGUGGACAGAGGGCUGCAGUGUGACCAAAAAAGACAAAGGACUUUCUCAGUGAGUGAGUACAAAGGGGCAGUCACUGUGUGGGGCAUAUGUGAGGAAGCAAAUAUCCUUGAGGAUACUUUUGAUUAAAAACAAAAGAAACCACAUUUUCUUUAUCCAGUCUAUCACUGAUGGGCAUGUAGGUUGAUUCCCUGCUUUUGCUAUUGUGAAUAGUGUUGCAAUGAAUAUACGCAUUCAUGAGUCUUUGUAAUAGAAUAAUUUGUAUUCCUUUGGGUAUAUACCCAGUAAUGGGAUUGCUGGGUCAAAUGGCAUUUCUGUUUUUAGGUCUUUGAGGAAUUACCACACUGUCUUCUAAAAUGCUUAAAGUAAUUUACACUCCUACCAACAGUGUAUAAACAUUCCUCUUUCUCCACAACCUUACCAGCAUCAGUUAUUUUUUGACUUUUUAAUAAUAGCCAUUCUGACUGAUGUGAGAUGGUGUCUCAUUUUGGUUUUGAUUUGAAUUUCUCUAAUGAUCAGUUGGAAUGAGGAUGUUAAUGGAACACUAUGCAGCCAUUAAAAAAAAAUGAGUUCAUGUCCUUUGCAGAGACAUGAAUGGAGCUGGAGGCCAUUAUCUUCAGCAAACUAAUGCAAAACAGAAAACCAAAUACCACAUGUUCUCAAUUAUAAGUAGGAGCUAAAUGAUGAGAACACAUGGACAUAUAGAGGGAAACGACACACACUGAGGCCUACCUGAGGAUGGAGGGUGGGAGGAGGAAGAGGAUAAGGAAAAAUAACUAAUGAGUACUAGGCUUAAUAUCUCGGUAAUGAAAUAAUCUGUACAACAAACCCCCAUGAUGCAAGUUUACCUAUAAAACAAACCUGCACAUGUACCCCUGAACUUAUAAUAAAACUUCAAAACAAAACAAACAAAACAAAAUAAAGCCUCUAAUUAAAAUGGAGAAUGAGUAGCUAUGGAGACAAAGGCUUUUCUGUAGAUACUAGAGACAAGAAGGAGGCCCUGUUGCUUCAAAAUGCUGAGGUUCCUUGAGAAUGUCAGUGUAGCCUUCAUAAAGCUCCGGAUUUCUCUCUUUUGGGGCCAUGAGGGGUUAUUUGCUAAUCUGGAAGUUGGCAUUUCGGGUGAACUGGAUUUUAACUCAGCUCACUCUUCAUUUUUUUGAUGGCCAUGGAGAAGGGAUAGUGAGAGAUUGAGAAGUGGAGGCUCUGAACUCCUUGUGGAGCUGUGCUCACCUCACCCUCCACCUGGGUGAGCAGGAGUUGCAGAUCCAAGGGCUUUGGGCCACUAGACCUCUGGGUGGUGAGGACAGACUGUGCAGAGAAGUCAUCAGCCUAGGGAUGGCCUUACCACAAACUCUCUAACCCUGUGCUUUACACACUCCUGACAGGUAGAAAGUAAAUUUGCAUAACAAACUGUUUAAAUAUUCAAUUUUUAUCCAGCUUCAAGGCACUCUUUGUCCUCGGUAGUUCUAAUGAUUAGUGACCCCUUCAAAAUCAGCAUCAUUUGUCAAAUCAAAUUAGCCUCCUUACUAACUGCAAGGCAGUGACAUUCAUCUUUUUGAUGCUUUCAAACCAGUCGGAGGUAAAGUUCUCAGAUGGAAUGGGGCUUGGUAUGCUGCAUGAGUCACUUCCUCAAUGAGGCAAUUGUCAGAAAAAUAGGAGACGUAGCUCUAAGGUAAAUAUUGUUGGGUCAUUUGAAAUGUAUGCAGAUUUGACAUUUCCCUUCUGAUUAGCAUGUCUACACAUUAAAGUUUUGUGUAUGUCACAUUGGAUAGUUCAGAUGCCAGGGUAAUGUCAGUGAGCACUUGAUAGAAACUUAAUUUUGCUCCUGAUGAAGAAAAUGGAAGGAUGAAGAGGAAAACCUAAGGUGAGAACCUUAUUUAGAGUGUACAGGGGGUAUUCAGAAUAAAAAAAAAAAAUGCUGGGAAGGAAAGUGUCAUUAUCUACUAUGUGCCAGUUACUUUAUUACCUAAUUUAGUCCUUUUAGGGAUAUUGACCCCGUUUGAAUAAUUAAAAUAGGUGAAUCAACAGGCUUAAUGCCAACAGAUAGUAGAAUAGUAGAGCUGAAAGUUCAAGCUCAUGUGUGUUUGAUGCUGAAGUCCAUGCUUCUUCCUGCAGAGUGUUGCCUCCAUAUGAUGCAAAAUAUCCAACCUAGCCCUGACAUGAAAACUUAAUUGAAAGUAUCCAACAGUGGGUAAGCAUCCUGACUCUGUCAUUACGUUGCAAAUUUAAAAUUAGAAACUCAGAGCAUUUCCUGGUACAACUUGUUCUUUUGUAAAUAAUGACUCUUCAGUCUCCACUUGAACACUUGCAGUGACCAGGAGCUAGCUUAUGAUUUCACCAUUCAUCCAUGUCUAUAUUUAUUCCUAUGUCCCUUCAUAUACCAAUAAUUAUGUCCUUCCAUAUUUAAGUGUACAAUUGUAUCUGCAUCUAAUUAUGACUUUAGAGUAUUUGCUCUGUUAGGGACUAUGUUGUGUCUUUCACUUAUUGUAUCAUUUAUCAUCACAAGAAGCCAGUAAGAUAUGUUAUAUUAUUAUGUAGACUUAAUGGAAAAAAAAUACUUGGACUUAAAAAAGAUAAGUAGCUUGCCUGAGCCACAUAACUAAGGAGCAGCAUGUCUAAGUAGUACAUCACCUCCCAGUUUCAAACUUUUUUCUAAUACAGUGCUAAUCCACAGCUCAUAAUAUGCAGAAAGAGCAAUAUCAGCUUUUAUCCUCAAUUUGAACUUGCCUAUCUAAUCCUGCUUUCUUAUUUUGUGUUGUCAAAAUCAUAUAAAAUAUAGUACUUGUUCAAGAACAUUGGCAAAGUGCUCCAACUAAAUCCAGGCUUUAGAGAUCAUCUGUACAUAAGGGCUACCGCUAGGCACUUUUCUCAUACCCAGCACCAUACAUUAGAUCUGGGGUUGGCAACUAUGGCCUACAGGUCAAAUCUUUGUCCAUGCCUGAUCUUUUAAAUAAAGUUUUAUUGGAACAUAGCCAUGCUCAUUCAUUUACUUAUUGCCUUUUUUCUCCACUACGAGAGCACAGUUGAAUAGUUGUGACAAGACCAUAUAUCCCAUAAAGCCUAAAAUAUUUACUCUCUGAUCCUUUCGACAGAGUUUGCUAACUCCGCAUUAGGACUCUUGCAUAAAUCUAUCAUGUUACCUAUGGAAAAGGUGUACAAAAGGGAUACAGAGUAUCUGGGGGUGGCCAUGCAUGCUAUAGAAUAAGUUGCAGAGUAAUUGCCAAAAUAGUGUUUUAAGCUGGAGAACCAAGACAAAGAAAUGGUAUCCAAAGUGUAUUUUAGUUCAAGCUCUCUGCUAUUAAUGCAGGGAUUCUAAAAUUGCUCCUGCAAUUCUCACCAAAGGGUCAGAGGAUAUUAACUUUAUUCACUUAUCCUGAAUCUUCCCUGUAAAACAGUGAUUCUCUCUCUCUCUCUCUCUCACUGUCUCUCUCUCUCACUGUCUCUCUCUCUCACUGUCUCUCUCUCUCUCUCACACACACACACACACACACCACUUACUGAACCAUGAAUAAAAAUCCCAAAUCUACUGAGUCAUAAAAGCUUGGAAUGAAACCAGGACAUCUAAAAUUUCAAAAUGCUUUAUCAAGCAACCAAUGUCUGGGUAUCAUUGCCACAAGCAACUACAAAUAUAUCUAAUUCCUUUUGCAGCAAGCAUUUGAAGAUAAUUAUCAUUUUCGUGGCUUUACAUACAUCUACAUGUCAAUAACUUGACCUUGGCUUUUAUCUGAGCUGUCACUUGGCGUUUCCACUUGGCAUCUCAAACUUUUCCUGCCUCAACACAAAUUUUUGAUUCCCCCACCAAAAUCAUCUCCAUUGUCAUUGAUGGCGCCACUCCCUAUUCAGUUAUUUAAGUUCAUAUUCUAAAAUGUUUCCAUGAUUUUUUUCUCCUCCCAUCAUAUCCUAUCCACAUGUAAGUCUGAAAUAUAUCCUGAUUCUGUCAACCUCUCCCCAUCACCACCCUAGGUCAAGACACCAUUAUGUCUCUCCUGGACUAUUAUGAGACAUCCAGAUCUUGUCCUUGCUUGGAUUUUUGAAUCCUUACAAUCCACAAUCUAUUCUCCCCAAGAUAGUCAUAGUGAUCUUCCUAAAAUUAUGUCAAGUCAUUUUGUUACUUAAAGCCCUUCAAUGAUGUUUCAUUACAUUUAAGAAACAAUACAAACUUCUUACUGUGUUCUGCAAACUACACGGGCUGAUGAUUGCCUAAUUUUGUGAAUCCAUCUUUAUCACUUUUCUACUCAGUAAUUCAUCCUAGCUGCAUGUGUCUUUUUUCUGAUCCUUGAAAACUAAGCUCAUUCACUUACUGGGGACUUUGCACUUGCUGUUGAGCCUAGAAACUUCUUCAUGGCUGGUUCCUCCUUAUGCGGGAGUCAGCUCGGAGCAUCCAUCGCUGACUACCCUAUCUAAAGCAGCUACAGUAAAUCCUCGCUUAACAUCGUCAGUAGUGUUCUUGGAAACUGUGAUUUUAAGUGAGACAAUGUACUGUAUAACAAAACCAGUUUUACAAAGAGUUAGAUUCCUAUGGCAUACAGUACAUCAUUUCACUUAACAUUGCAGUUUCCAAGAACCUAUCAACAAUGUUAAGUGAGGACUUAUACUUUAAAGCAAUAUGUUGGUUUUAUUGCAGCAUCUUCUUCGAGUUUCCAUGUAGCUCUUAUCACUAUAAAUAUUAUUAUGAAAUUAUCAUGUUUAUUUGAUUGUUUAUUAUCUGCCUUUCUGCAAAAGAAUACAAGGGCCACAGGAAUACACCAAGUACCUAGAACAAUGAGUGGUGCAUAAUUCUUGCUUAAUAAGUAUUUGUUGAAUGAAUACUGCUUUUCUCUUUAAUGUUUUAUUCUUCAAGCUAAAUCUCCCUACCCUUUCAAACAUUUACCAAAGUAUACUAUGUGACUACAGUGUGAAUUGGUUAACUAUAAUCUGUUCCCUGGUCACAAACAACCUAUUCCAGAGCAGAACUUUCUAUACUUUCUAAGAGGAGAAGCUGGUUUUCACUUUCCUUUGCAAGCUUCCUAUGCAUUUAGUACAAUAUUGUAUACAUGGUGGGUAUUGAAUAAAUGUUGAUGAAUGGACUGUAUAAUGACUUUGGGGGUCCAUACAUCAAGAUUUUCUUGAAGGGCAGGUAAUUACUUGUACUUUAUAUCUGACGUUUUAAUAUAACUGGUGGCGGUCAUUAUCCCUUGUAAUUGCAUUUGCAUCCUAGUCAAUUCUUUCAAAAAAAAAAAGGAGAAAAUAAGCAGAAUUACUUUGUGAGCAAUCCACAAUUGGAUUUGCAUUUAAAAAUUGCCAAGUGAGCACUCCUGCCUGAUGGCCAAAUGAAAUUAAUCUCUCCUAACUCAAGGUCUCAUCUAUUUGGAGAGAAGGGAGCUGGACUCAUGGAGUGCUGCUGGCUCUCUAAAUGAUAAAAGUCAUCACUCCCAUUAUUUAUAUUUUCAGGGUGCCUAUGAUGUUCUCUCACUGUGCUAGCCAAUGGGAAUAUAGAGAUGGCUAAGAGAUUGUCCCUAUUCUUCAGUUCUCCAAUUCUAGGUUACAUGAUCAGAGGCCCUGUUCCGCCUGCACACUACUUCACAGAAAUGCCCCACAUUCUUAAUAAGGGCAUGGGUCAGAUGUCCAUGUUCAUAAUAGUCUAUCCCCUCUUCUGGACACAGCUGUUGGUUCAUAGUUAGACAUCUGGCCCAGUGCAGUUAGUUUAUAUUUCUCAGAAGUUCGAAUUAAAGGAAUAAAGGGUAAGGGAGUUGGCCCCUGAGUUGUGUAAAUGGUAGAACACAGAUGUCCAUCUGUGUUGCUCAGGUCUCUGGGAAGGCUUUAUUUUUGACCUUCUUGAGACCUGAUUGUUCAUUUUUGCUUUUAGAUUUCAGUGAGGUCUUAAGAGAAUUCGAUAGGCUUCUGUUUCUUGCAGCAACAUUUCCAUAAGAAACAGCUAUGUAGAUGGGGAGACAUACAAACCAAAACCUGUACUUCAGUGUGUUCAGUACCAUAGUAGAGGUUUGGGCAGGUUGCUAUGUCAACAAAGAGGGAGUUCCUUAAACCUGGUCUAGGAAUGUCAGAGGAAGCUUGCAGGAGGCAUCAGCUAAACUGAGUCAUGACAGAAAAGUAAUAAUUACCUUGGUGAGAAAUGGUAGGGAGAAGAAAGUCAGGUUUAGGCAGCAUGAACAAGCCAAGUGGAAUGCAAAAGAGCAGGUAUAUUCUGGGAAGCACAAGUGUAGUAUGAUUGGAGCUCAAAUAACAAGAUGAUGAAGUGGUAGGUAAGCACAUAGAGAAGCAGGUAGUAGCCAGACUACGGGGUGUCUGCCGCUAAGGUGUUAGGAGUGGGGGCUUUACCUUGUAGGCUUCUCACCUGCUGAAUGACCAGUUUUGAUCCUUUCUCUGAAGGGAUCCAAACCACAUCUUCAGGCACCUUUUAGUUAUUUCAUGAUUCUUUCUUUAGGAGUGACCCAAGGCAAACUUACAAAAAGAAGCACAUGGCAUGUGGAAAGAAGAGAAGAUUCAAAAUCAGUAGUCAGGAUUUGAGCCUCUUCUCUUCUGCUUUCUAGCUGAAAAAUGUCGAACAAAGAAUUCAACAUUACUUUUCUGAGCCUCUCUUUCCUCUUCUAUGGAAUGGAAGUAAUAAAAUAUCUACCUCCCAGAGUUGUAGUUCAGACCCAACACAUAUAUUUUUAGUGCUCUAUCAUAUGUUAGUUUCUGAACUUUGCUCUUUCUCAGGAAGCAUCCCACUGAAUUAAAAACAUCUGUUGAGUUAAAUACUAUUGUCUCUUCAAUCAAAUGGAGAAAUUGAGGCUAAUGAAGAUAAAGAGCCUUGUUCCAUUUCAUACAUCUAGAAGUAGAAGAGCUGGUAUUAAAAAUCCUACCUGUUGGACUUUAUAUCAGGUGCUCUUUUCCCAAACUACAGCUGCUUUAUAAAGAAGCAAAUGAUAAUUUUUAAAACAACACAAUAGCAAAGCCAUGGAAUCAACUCAGUUUCCCAUCAACUGUGGAUUGGAUAAAGAAAAUGUGGUACAUGUAUAUCAUGGAAUACUAUGCAGACAUAAAGAAGAACAAAAUCGUGGCUUUUGCAGCAACAUGGAUGCAGCUGGAGGCCAUUACUCUGAGUGAACUAACGCAGAAACAGAAAACCAAAUACCCUUUGUUCUCCCUAAUAAGUGGGAGCAAAACGAUGGUACACGUGGACAUACAGAUGGGAACAGCAGACACUGCGGACAAUUAGAGAGGGGAGAGAGGGAGGAGGGCAAGGGUUGAAAAAUGACACAUUUUAUUACCUGGGUGAUGGAUUCAUUUGUACUCCAAACCUCAACAUCACUCAGUAUACCUUUAUAACAAAUCUACACAUGCACCCUCCGAUUCGAAAAUAGAAGUUGAAAAAAACUGUAUUUUCUCUAAAAAAUUUUGCUUAUGUACUAGUUGGUGCCCUUCAAGUGGGAAAAAUCCAUGCCUGCUGAACUGUCACCUCUUUUUUUUUUGGAGGGCUUCUAUUUUUCAAGUGCCCUGUGUCUUCUUGGGCUUGUUUUUUAUUCUAGACAAAAUGCUUCCACACACUGGGGGCUUUACCUGGCCUGCUCAUGAAGGCAUCAUCUGGGUCCAAACUCCUUAUUGGCUACUUAUCAAAAUGGAUCUUUCUCUGCUCUUCUUUUGCAUUAGAUUCUUGCUAAGAACCUAGAAUUUGCCUGAUAGAUUGACUUACCCUAAAGUUAAAAAGGCUUUUAUUAGCUUAUUUUAUGGCUCUAUAUUGUGUAUUUCCUUUUAAACAGAGGUUCCUUAGAGACUCAAUUCCUUAAUCCAGCAUUUCUUAAGUUUGCUUUUGGGAAGGUUAGUACAAGAAGAUGGUCUCUUUAAAAAUAAUUCUUGAGAAUCACUAUACUGGUUAACAUAUUAAAAGAACCAAGGAGUCCUACAGAUUUUUAAAAAGCCUUUGCUUAUUGAUACUCUUUGGUUUGACUGCCAAUUCUCUUUUUGUGGAUCAUCUGCUAAUAUCUAAUAAAUUUAGCAUGACACAGAACAAAUGUUGAGAAACAGUCAAUAAAAAACUGUCUUUGUGAAAAUUUUGGCAUUGCACUAUCUGGAAAAAGUGAUUUUUGUGAGUAGAGCCAUGUGAGUAUGCUUCUAAAAACACAACAUAUUGGCAUUAUUCUCAGGAGUAGAUCCAGGUUUUGUGGCACUUGAAGAUUAUACAGUUGAUGGGUGACUAAGAAAAAAAUUACUGUGUUAAUCAAAAUUUAGGUUUUGAAAGGGGCCUGUGUAAGCAAAGAGCCCACAGAGUAAGCUUCAUUGUCUGUAUUGUCAAUCUACAAAAGACUGACCUUUUUCAAGUGAGUAUAAACCUGGCCUGGCUUAUGUUCAUGUGGUGAGUGAAAGAAUAGUAAACCAGGAAGAAGAAGGCUUAUGUCCUUGGUCAGAAUUGUCCAUUUUACUUCAAUUCCCUAGACUCUGUGACUUUGGAUAAGUCACUUUAUUUCUCAUCAUCAGUGACUUUAUUUUUAGAAAGGGGUAUUAAUUGUCCUCUGGAUGAUAAAGAGUCAUUUUGAAAUUAUAAUUAAUGGGGAAGCAUUUAGCACUAUACAAAUAGAGGUUAUGAUUCUUUUCAAAAUGCUUAUUAAUUCUGAGGACUACACAUAUGUUAACAAUCAUUAUUGCUAACAUAUCAAAUAAAAACAAAUCUGGACUUAAGUAAAUGGAGAUUUUAUUUUUAAAAUAUUGCAAUAGAAAAGGUAGACAAUUGCAAUAGAUUAAUGACCCUAAGAUCUCCAUCUCAAAUGUCAGGCAGAGGACAGCUUUUUUUGUUCUUUAUGGCAAGGAAUAAACAAGGCUAGAAAGAACAGGUAUGGGGCGUGGAAAGUGGGUAAGUGAGUGGCAUGAUGAGACAGUUGAUAUCCCUUCCCCUGUCUCCCCAUUUCAGCUGAUUUUCAGGAGGGGACAGUAAGGAGAGGUUGCUCCAAGUUCCAUUGCUCAGCAGAGGAUCAAAGAUAAGAGACCUGGGGAGAGGUGAGACACUUGAGUAUAGUUUAAGCAAAUCAAAUUGGUAGGCAUUUUGUCCAGGUUGGUGAGUGGAAAGAAACAGUUAAGCUAAUCAUUUAUGAGGCAAAGGGUGGGAAUUUGGAGGAUCUGUGUCCAGCCUUGUCAAAGGCAAAAAAGGAGUCAUUCACAGGUCUUUUUUAAGUUAUGUGCAGAAGAGUAGUUCUUUGCAGUAAGCUAUUCUUGGGGUACAUAUUAGGAUAAGGGAAUGUCUUAACUUUUGCUGUUUUCCAGGAGCACAGGGCUCAGGUAAAGUUCAAUAUUAUCAAAUAUCAACACCAUCAUUGCUUUUCUUGUGUCUGGUCAGUCAUUCAAAAUGCUGUAUCUUUGGAAAAAUUACUUAACUUUUCAGACCUUCAGUUUUCUCAUCAGCAAAAUGAGAAUAAUUAUAAUAAUAACUAGCUCACUAGGAUACGGUGAUUCUUGAAUGACCUAAUGACUAUGCAAGCACCUCAUAAGCUAUAAAUAUUGUGGAAAUAUUAUGCAUUUUUUUGUUGUCAUUGUUAGUAGCUCUAUAGGCUCUGACUUCUUCAUUUAUUUGAUGCAGCAAAAAUGGGGAAGGGAUGAAACAUUGUUUAAAUGAAUCCUAGAUACCAGACACAGGGGUGCCCCAUACUCUUUCUCUCACCAGGUGCAUACAACCCUGAAUUGUCAUGUGCAUGAAAUCAUCUACUUUCAUCCAAGGAAUAUGGAAAAGAGAUGGGCAAAGAGAUAACUCAGCUACAUUUGCCUGUUAAUAAUUGAUUUAUUUUACUCUGGAAGCAAUUAGCUUGUUGUUCCAUAUAGUUUUUUUGAAAAAGGCAAAGGAAAAGAUAAAGAGGAGAAAAAAAAUCCCAUCAAGCCCAUAUUGCACGUUGGCUGCCAACAAUGUUUCUUUUAAAAAUAAAAUAAAAUGUUCUGUUGUAGAUUUUUUUUUUCCUUUUGGAAAGAUACAGGAAUUGCAAAGAGAGUGCCAGACAGCACUAGCAUAUGCUUAUUUUUCUAACUCAAUGUGGGCAGCCUUUCUUAAACAUUUUGUAUAAAUAUAUUUAUUCUCCCACUGAGACCUUGCCUGCCAGGUUCAGGAACAACUGAGUAAGCAGAUGAGUUAUAAACCAAGGAAAGAAAAGGAAGAAUUGCCAUGGAAAUGCUGAUGGCCCCUUUAUUCCAGUUGAGUACAUUGCCCCAGUAUAAUAAAUUAGUGGUUGAUGUGUUGAUGAUAAAUCUAUAGCAGUUUUCAUAUUCAAAGUAAAAGAUAUUUCACUCUGUCUUUGCUGCAGAAAUAAUCAGAAAGCAAGGAAAUGUUGACAUCCGGUGGGCAGGAUUGAAAAAAACACACACACAAAAACCCUUUGGUGCACAACCCACAUUUGCAAGCUGUCUGCAUUUCUUGUAUUGGCCUCAGCUUUGACAAAUGUAAAAAAGUCACUAAUAUUUUGACACUCUCCCUGCCCAAGUCUGAUACCAGCUGGCUGUGAAGCCACAUAUUCAUUGUUCUGCUGGAUUUUAAAGACUGGGUCCCAGCCAAAGGACUGGACUGGAUCCAUUCAUUCAUUUUGAAGAUUGAAGUUGCAGCUUAACUGUAAUGACCAUUUCUCAACUCAAUCUGGGAACCUCUUCCAAAUCCAACAGAUGCCUGAGAGGCAAAUGUGCAUUUGGAUUGGAAACCACUCUCUCUGAGAAAGAAACAAAAGGUGAUCCUUGAAUCUGAAAACAAUUCCUUGUUUUAAGAGCAACUAUCAUUCUUUAUAUUGAUUGUGCCUUAUUUUUAAAAAAUGCUCAUGUUAUUAGAACCUUUGUAAAAAUGCUUAUCUUACUAUUUUAAGUGAAAGGGAAAAUUUAAAUUGCAGAUGCAGUAUGACAACAAUUAUGGAAAAUUAUGCCCAGAAAAAAAAAAUUGGCAGAAAACACACAAAAUGUCAAAAACUUUAACGGGAAAGAUCUUUAAGGUUAUGGUGAGCUUUUUCUUUUACUUUCACGUACUUUUCUUCUAUAUCAAGUUUUACAUUUAUAAUUGGGGAAAAAUAAACUGUUUGUUUCUUUGGACAUGUGCUCUGUUUCUUUUAUUCUUACUGUAUUUUGAGCUCUGGUGACCAUAUUGUUCUAGUAAUCACAGGCAACUAUUGCUCAAGUGAGCUACAGCCUUGGAAAAUAAAACCAUUCUAUAAUCUACAAAAAAUUCUUUGCGUUCUACAUCUAAAAAAUGCUCCCCUGCUGUGUGUUCCUGCUGUACCAUUUUUCCAGUCACUUAAUAAUUGGAGACAUUAACCCUGAUCACUUGCAAAUUUUCCAUUUAAAUUUAUUUUUAGGUAAACAGAUGCUUGGGAAAACUGCCACCAUAGGGAUGUAGGAGAAAGGAAGUUAUAACUUGAUCCUGAAAUCAUUUGAGGGAAUUAUUUCCAAAGCAUAAUAAGACGCUUAUAUAUUUGAGUGUCAGAGUAAUCUGGGAGAAUGGAUUUAUAUUAAUUUUUUCAUGUAAAUAUAGUGUGUCUUUAUUAUGUGCAGAUCCUAUGUGAAGGCUUUGUUUGUACUAUUUCAUGUAGCCCUCAUAAAACUUUAUAAAAUAUGUAAUGUCAUCACUUUUCAGUUGAGGAAACUGAUACUUAGAUGGAUUAAAAAUUUGAAACUCCACCACUCUGAUUCCAGCUCAUGCUAGAAUUUUACGCUUUAGCUAUUGGCUUUUGUAAUCAGGAAGACUUGCCUUCUGAUCUCAGUGCGUCAGAAGGAUCACUUAGAAGCUGGUGACUCCAGUUUUCUCAUCAGUAAAAUGGGGACAAGAAAAUCAAAGACAAAGGUAAUAAAAUCCGUGCAGUUGCAAGGAUGAAAGUAGUUAAUGCCAUCAGCAUCAGUUGGAGAAAAUCCCUCUGAUUCCAGGGCAUCUCUUCCAAGUAAAAACUACCAAAAUGAGCUUAGAGAUAGGCAUCUCUGGAAAUGUUUCCUUGUCCUGCCUGUAAAAAUUUGACAGUAUUUCUCCACAGACUGUAGCCAUAUCCAACCCCCUGGCUCGCACAGCACUGAUUAAAAAACGGAUUGCCAGCAGUCAUCUGUGAUUGUCUACCAUGAAGUGCUGCUCUUCUCUUCCUCCACCCAAUUGCCCCAUGCACUAUUCAUGAGUUCUACAAUAUUCCAAACUUUAAUUUCCACAGAUUAAUUCUCACUAAUUAUUCACCAUAUGAACCUUCGCAGGAGAAUUCCACUGGAAGCUCUUCCAUCCUGAGGCAGGGAAGGCAAUGUCGAAUCGUUUUUUGAUUUCAAGUGGAAAACAAACUAAUUAUGUGGAAAUAUGAUAAUAGAUUGCGCUGCAGGGACCAGUCCUCUGCAGGCUUCAAAAUGUUUGCUUAUGAUCAGCUCUUCAUGUUAUUUCUUCCAGGAGGAGCUGCCCUUUCAUAAUACAUCAACAUUAUUGACUGGCCUGUGAUUCCUUACUUGGAGUUAAGAUAAUUUGCAUAAUUGUAUAUUACUUCCGUCUGGUAGAAACAAACAAGAUGUUUGGGUGCUAAUGAUCAGGCAAGCAGCGGUGACUGCCGGGAAAAAUAGCAUUAGUAAAGUCCAAAAACAACGAAGAACAGCUUCUCUCCUUGGCAUCUUUCAUCACUUUCUUUGACGUAACUCUGUUCCACUUGGCCACAGGCAUUGUUUCUUAUCUGGUUGUCCAAGCUUAGGAGGUGAUCUGGCUAGACAUAUAUUCCAAAUCUGCAAAAAUAUAAAGCACUGUUAGGCUGUGAACUUUCAUACUUUGUAUUUGCUUAGGUCACUUCUUCUGCCUAAGCAUGAAUCUCUUCCUUCUUCUCUCUGGCAGAAAUGGUCUUAUCCUUUGAUAAGGUCUUAUCAGCAUUUGUGCUGAUCCUCCUUUUGAUACCCCCCAACUUUUCCACCUACUGUGCAUCAUUCUUGAAAGGAAAACCAUAUCAAAUGAACAGAGUAGAUACAGGAGGCACAAAGUAGGUGCUAACCACAUACAUUCUCACUCAUUCAAUUAAUAGUUUUUGAGCUUUACAAUUUGCUAGUUGUAUUCUUGUCACUUCGAAUAGAGGAGCUAACAAGUAGGACAAAAACAAAUCCUCCUUUCUUUUAAUUCAACAACACUUCUCUGUUGUAAUUCAUAUCCCUAUUUAGCAAUUAUUCAUUUGGACUUGUAGUACAUCUGAUAGAGUGAUAGUUUACUUGUCUCUAUAACUCCAUGACCAGACACACAGUAAGUGCUAAAUAAAUGUCUGUUAAAUAGACUUGAUAUUUCAAAAGAGUGGAUCAUGCAACCUAUUUGAUGUAUUAAAUCAAGUAUACAGAUAGGGGUACAUUACUUGCCAGCUCUAUAUGAUUGGUAGUGGCUGCAUCAAAUGCUGAGAAAAGAAUUUUGAGGCUGUAUAUGUUCAGUGGAAAAGUUUUUUGUGAUUGAUUAGUAAUGUCUGCAAUGAAAAUAUUAAUGGAGAAUAGCAAACCACAUGUCAAGUGAUUAUUGCAUUCUUGCUAAAAAAAAUUUAACCUUGGGCAUCUUCAAGAGACUUAAUAGCUAUACAUACGUGCUGGAGAGGAUGUGGAGAAAUAGGAACACUUUUACACUGAUUGGUGGGACUGUAAACUAAUUCAACCAUUGUGGAAGUCAGUGUGGCGAUUCCUCAGGGAUCUAGAACUAGAAAUACCAUUUGACCCAGCCAUCCCAUUACUGGGUAUAUACCCAAAGGAUUAUAAAUCAUGCUGCUAUAAAGACACAUGCACACGUAUGUUUAUUGCAGCACUAUUCACAAUAGCAAAGACUUGGAACCAACCCAAAUGUCCAACAGUGAUAGACUGGAUUAAGAAAAUGUGGCACAUAUACACCAUGGAAUACUAUGCAGCCAUAAAAAAGGAUGAGUUCAUGUCCUUUGUAGGGACAUGGAUGAAGCUGGAAACCAUCAUUCUCAGCAAACUAUCUCAAGGACAAAAAACCGAACACCGCAUGUUCUCACUCAUAGGUGGGAACUGAACAAUGAGAACAUGUGGACACAGGAAGGGGAACAUCACACACCGGGGCCUGUUGUGGGGUGGGGGGACGGGGGAAGGAUAGCAUUAGGAGAUAUACCUGAUGUUAAAUGACGAGUUAAUGGGUGCAGCACACCAACAUGGCACACGUAUACAUAUGUAACCAACCUGCAUGUUGUUCACAUGUACCCUAAUACUUAAAGUAUUAAAAAAAAAAUGUGUUCAGUGGGUGGAGUUGAUGAGUUUUUCAGGUUGCCUACAGUUCAAGUGUUAAACAGGUUAUGAUCUACCAAGAUGGUUGCAAUAUUAUGGUUUUGGACAUUAAACCCUUGAAAUAAAACAUUUUGAUUUACUCUCUAUGGAAGUAAUAAGAUCUGCCAUUAUUGGGCUAGACACCUUCCAUGUAUUAUCCUAUUGAAUUAGUCCCAGCAACACUGCACAUUAGGUAAUUUUAAUCCCAUUUUACUGAUGUAGAAACCAAAGCUCAGAAAUGUGACCAAGAUAAAAAAGAUUAUGAAUGGAAAAUAGAAAAUUUAAGUCCAGUUUGUCCUGACUCCAAAGUAUAUGCGUUCCCCGUGUAUUCCCAAGGCAAAUUGUUAUUUAGUUCUUCCAGUCUAACAUGUAUUGCUAUGCAUUUCAGAGAAAGUGGCCCUUUGACCUAGUGGACAAUGAGACAAACAAAUGUGAAGCAUUCCAAUGAUUGUGGUCUUUGUGGGUGCUAGAGGAGCAGGGACCGUCUGUAAGGGUGUAUGUGCAGACAGAUUGAAGUGGGAAAGUGGCUUCAAAUAGAAAAAGGUUGAAAAUGGAAAAUAACUCCUUUCAUUGAGUGUAUUUUUCAUGCCAGGAGUUGGGUUACUUACUGAAUGGUGAAGACUUUUAAGGAUGAGCAUUAUCAUCUCCAUUUCUCAGAAUAAGAAAAUACAAGCUCAGAUAAAUUGAGUAACUAGAUUAAUGAAAAGAGGGAUCUAGUUUAUUCUAUUUGUCCACUACUGUAUCCCUAAUUCAGUAUCACAUCUUCUGCCUGGCACAAAUUAGACACU